ACUACCCUCAUCAAGAGAAGAGAGUGAUAUCUAAAGAAAGAAGAGGCCCUACCAACUGGGCCACCAUGAAUGACCACGGCAUUGCCAGCAAGUGAUGGCAAAUUGUCUUGUGUACAGUGCAUCCAUGACAAGGAACAGAACUGACCAUAAACAGGCUCCUGUUCUCCAGCUGGCAGAAGUUGAAUUGAAGG